AGAGUUUGAUCCUGGCUCAGAUUGAACGCUGGCGGAAUGCUUUACACAUGCAAGUCGAGCGGCAGCGCGGGGCAACCUGGCGGCGAGCGGCGAACGGGUGAGUAACAUAUCGGAACGUAUCCAUAAGUGGGGGACAACCUGGCGAAAGCCAGGCUAAUACCGCAUACGCAGGAGACUGGAAAGUGGGGGACCGCAAGGCCUCACGCUUUAGGAGCGGCCGAUAUCCGAUUAGCUUGUUGGUGAGGUAAAGGCUUACCAAGGCUAUGAUCGGUAGCUGGUCUGAGAGGAUGAUCAGCCACACUGGAACUGAGACACGGUCCAGACUCCUACGGGAGGCAGCAGUGGGGAAUUUUGGACAAUGGGGGCAACCCUGAUCCAGCCAUUCCGCGUGAGUGAAGAAGGCCUUCGGGUUGUAAAGUUCUUUUGUUCGGGACGAAACGGUUUUGGCGAAUAACCAAGACUACUGACGGUACCGGAAGAAUAAGCACCGGCUAACUACGUGCCAGCAGCCGCGGUAAU
rnacentral:rRNA from 1 species